rnacentral:lncRNA from 1 species
CUGGCUUCCAAGAAAGCCAUUAACCUGCAUUUAAAAAUUCAGCUUUCAUCAAGAACAACCUCACAUAUCCAGCUCUCAUGGAAAAAGGAAUAGAAGCCUCUGACCUAGUUUUCAAUUAUUACCAAACUACUGAUAAUUGAUCUCCUGGUCUCCAGGUUUGUUUGUUUUACUAAAAUAAAUUCCCUCUGGAGCUGCAGGUGCUUACCAUGGGGCUGCGCAGGUGGAAAGCAGCCCAGUCUUACUAUGAGGAUGUCCGUUUGCCAUCUGGGAACAAGGAGGAAGAAGCAGAGACCUGGGCAAGACCUCAGAACAGGGAGGUUCCUGUGGACAGAAACAUCUGCUUCCUGCUUAUCCUGUAUCUCAGCAUCUGAAUGGUCAUGACUGGAACACAGGCAGACUUCAGAAAUAAAUACAUAAAUAUCUCAUACUCCUCGAAUCUUUUAGAAAAAGAGUGUGGGUAACAAUAAACAUAUCUGCUGAGAAAUGACCACCUCACUCUACUCUUCUGCAGACUUCCCAUUCUGUGCCGAGUCACCCUCAGUAGGCCUAAGUGUGACGAUCCUCUCAGCACUCCCUGUAAACCUAUUUAGGAAUCCGCGAAAGAAAGAGAAGACCACCAGGCAGACUGGUGAUGAUAUUUCUUGGGGAGGCUGUGCAGUUUUUCAUAGUGAAGCCUACAACUUAGAUUUUCAGCACUAAUAGAACCCCAUUAUCAGGAGGAGAGAAAAGCACUAAUUUCAGAUGGGCUCUGACAGGGGACAGUUUUAAGAAUUUAUAGAGAGACAUUUCCGUGUCCAGCCAGGAUGUAAUCAUGGAAAUUGGAUUUACCUUCCCAUCCAUGUGUAACACCAACAUCCAGUGGUUUUUCAUGAUACUGAACAAAGGCAGCAAUCACUGAGAGACUGGGAAAUAAACAAAAGGACUGCCCCAAUUUAUUAAGAAAGCUUCCAGACCACAAUGAAGGUAGGUGGUGUGGAGUCCUGACAAGGUAAGUUAGCACCAACAAGGAAGAGGCCAGCCCCCGAUGGGGGAGAACAAUUGUUCUGAGAGACAGCUAAUCACAAACAACCUGCUUGUACAACAUCCUGUUCCCAAAUACCUUGCUCUGCAUAUACCCCAGCAGCACAAUCCUCUCUGCACAUAACCCCUCCAGCAUGGCCCUAGAAAACUUCCUUUCAGCCCCUGCCUCUUGGCAGACAGCCUCUUCUCUGCUGUGCCGGCCAUUGCUUCCCGCUAAUAAACUUGUUCUCGUUUUUGUUGUUGUUGUUUCGAGAUGAAGUUUCACUCUGUCGCCAGGCUGGAGUGCUGUGGUGUGAUCUCGGCUCACUGCAACCUCUGCCUACCAGGUUCAAGCAAAUCUUGUGCCUCCGUUUCCCGAGGAGCUUGGGAUUACAGGCGCCCGCCACCACGCCCGGCUCAUUUUUGUAUUUUUAGUAGAGACGGGGUUUCACCAUGUUGGCCAGGCUGGUCUCGAUCUCUUGACCUCGUGAUCUGCCCACCUCGGCCUCCCAAAGUACUAGGAUUACAGGCGUGAGCCUCCGCACCCGGCCUAAACUUGGUUUUAACUCGCACCUGUUUCAGUAAAUUAUUUACUUCCCGUGAAGCCAGCCUUAGCCAGUCACGCUCACAACAAGUAGAAGCCAGGCGGAGCCUGAAGGAGGCCCUGAGUUAAGGUGACAAAG